rnacentral:rRNA from 1 species
CAAGUGACCCGGUCUUACCACCGGGAUGUUCAUAACCCUUUGUUGUCCGACUCUGUUGCCUCCGGGGCGACCCUGCCUUCGGGCGGGGGCUCCGGGUGGACACUUCAAACUCUUGCGUAACUUUGCAGUCUGAGUAAACUUAAUUAAUAAAUUAAAACUUUUAACAACGGAUCUCUUGGUUCUGGCAUCGAUGAAGAACGCAGCGAAAUGCGAUAAGUAAUGUGAAUUGCAGAAUUCAGUGAAUCAUCGAAUCUUUGAACGCACAUUGCGCCCCCUGGUAUUCCGGGGGGCAUGCCUGUUCGAGCGUCAUUUCACCACUCAAGCCUCGCUUGGUAUUGGGCAACGCGGUCCGCCGCGUGCCUCAAAUCGACCGGCUGGGUCUUCUGUCCCCUAAGCGUUGUGGAAACUAUUCGCUAAAGGGUGUUCGGGAGGCUACGCCGUAAAACAACCCCAUUUCUAAGGUUGACCUCGGAUCAGGUAGGGAUACCCGCUGAACUUAAGCAUAUCAAUAAGCGGAGGAAAAGAAACCAACAGGGAUUGCUCUAGUAACGGCGAGUGAAGCAGCAAUAGCUCAAAUUUGAAAUCUGGCGUCUUCGACGUCCGAGUUGUAAUUUGUAGAGGAUGCUUCUGAGUAACCACCGACCUAAGUUCCUUGGAACAGGACGUCAUAGAGGGUGAGAAUCCCGUAUGCGGUCGGAAAGGUGCUCUAUACGUAGCUCCUUCGACGAGUCGAGUUGUUUGGGAAUGCAGCUCUAAAUGGGAGGUAAAUUUCUUCUAAAGCUAAAUAUUGGCCAGAGACCGAUAGCGCACAAGUAGAGUGAUCGAAAGAUGAAAAGCACUUUGGAAAGAGAGUUAAAAAGCACGUGAAAUUGUUAAAAGGGAAGGGAUUGCAACCAGACUUGCUCGCGGUGUUCCGCCGGUCUUCUGACCGGUCUACUCGCCGCGUUGCAGGCCAGCAUCGUCUGGUGCCGCUGGAUAAGACUUGAGGAAUGUAGCUCCCUCGGGAGUGUUAUAGCCUCUUGUGAUGCAGCGAGCGCCGGGCGAGGUCCGCGC